rnacentral:rRNA from 1 species
UGCAGGUCGAGGGGCGAGCGGGAAGUUAGCUUGCUAACUUGCCGGCGACCGGCGCACGGGUGAGUAACGCGUAUCCAACCUCCCCUUAGAGGGUUUUUCAUAGCCCGUAGAAAUGCGGAUUAAUACCCUAUGUUAUUCGUCGAGGACAUCUGAAGUGAAUCAAAGGUUUACCGCUAAGGGAUGGGGAUGCGUCUGAUUAGGCAGCAGGCGGGGUAACGGCCCACCUGGCCGACGAUCAGUAGGGGUUCUGAGAGGAAGGUCCCCCACAUUGGAACUGAGACACGGUCCAAACUCCUACGGGAGGCAGCAGUGAGGAAUAUUGGUCAAUGGUCGAGAGACUGAACCAGCCAAGUAGCGUGCCAGGAUGACGGCCCUAUGGGUUGUAAACUGCUUUUAUGCGGGGAUAAAGUGACGUACGUGUACGUUUUUGUAGGUACCGCAUGAAUAAGGACCGGCUAAUUCCGUGCCAGCAGCUGC